UACAGCGGGUGCGAGCGUUAAUCGGAAUUACUGGGCGUAAAGCGCGCGUAGGCGGCUUUUCAAGUCGAUUGUGAAAUCCCCGGGCUUAACCUGGGAACUGCAGUCGAGACUGUCUAGCUAGAGUAUGGGAGAGGGAAGUGGAAUUUCAGGUGUAGCGGUGAAAUGCGUAGAUAUCUGAAGGAACAUCAGUGGCGAAAGCGACUUCCUGGACCAAUACUGACGCUCAUGUGCGAAAGCGUGGGGAGCAAACAGG
rnacentral:rRNA from 1 species